CUGUCUCCUAGGUAACAGUGUCUGUAAGUCAUGGAGGAAGUGAUGGGCUUUAAACAGAAACGAGACUCCUCUGCAUCCUUGUGUGAUGCGGUGUGUAAGAAGUUGAAGGUGAAUGGAGAACAUGUUGAACUCCUACAGGAUGAGGACACGCCCCGUCUCUCUCGUCCUGAUGAUCAGCUCUGCGACAGGAUCAGCGUGAGGGACGUGUCCGAGUUACUGCAGUAUGUCAUGCUGAGGAAACACCUGAUGUGAAGAAACCCAG